UACGGAGGGUGCAAGCGUUAUCCGGAUUCACUGGGUUUAAAGGGUGCGUAGGAGGGCAGGUAAGUCAGUGGUGAAAUCUCCAAGCUUAACUUGGAAACUGCCGUUGAUACUAUCUGUCUUGAAUACCGUGGAGGUGAGCGGAAUAUGUCAUGGUAGCGGUGAAAUGCUUAGAAUAUGGACAUAGAACACCAAUUGCGAAGGCAGCUCGCUACACGAAUAUUGACUCUGAGGCACGAAAGCGUGGGGAUCAAACA
rnacentral:rRNA from 1 species